GUGGGGAAUCUUCCGCAAUGGACGAAAGUCUGACGGAGCAACGCCGCGUGAACGAUGACGGCCUUCGGGUUGUAAAGUUCUGUUAUACGGGACGAAUGGUACGACGGCCAAUACCCGUCGUAAGUGACGGUACCGUAAGAGAAAGCCACGGCUAACUACGUGCCAGCAGCCGCGGUAAUACGUAGGUGGCAAGCGUUGUCCGGAAUUAUUGGGCGUAAAGGGCGCGCAGGCGGCGUCGUAAGUCGGUCUUAAAAGUGCGGGGCUUAACCCCGUGAGGGGACCGAAACUGCGAUGCUAGAGUAUCGGAGAGGAAAGCGGAAUUCCUAGUGUAGCGGUGAAAUGCGUAGAUAUUAGGAGGAACACCAGUGGCGAAAGCGGCUUUCUGGACGACAACUGACGCUGAGGCGCGAAAGCCAGGGGAGCAAACGGGAUUAGAAACCCGUGUAGUCC
rnacentral:rRNA from 1 species